ACAAGGUGCAAGGGCUGAGAUUGGCCAUAUGCCUGCUAUCACAGUCAAGGGCAAGACUGGGUUGGCUUCUGUGUUUGCCACUAAGAACCUUUAGCUCUGAUGUUGGCUGCAACCCAGCAGGCGUGGAGCAGUGGGGACACAUGCCAUGACUGACCUUGAUGUGAGGGAUGGCCUCCCCUGUUAUCAGAGAGCCAUCCAGGAGAGAAGGGCAGGACCAAGCAGCCUGUGAUUGGCAUAUGCAGGAGAUAUGAUCUAGUCCAAAUCCCCUGCUCAAGUAGGGUCAUCUAAAGCAGGUAUU